UGGGGAAUCUUCCGCAAUGGGCGAAAGCCUGACGGAGCAAUGCCGCGUGAGUGAAGAAGGCCUUCGGGUUGUAAAACUCUGUCCUUAUCGAAGAGAGGUGGGUAUGUGAAUAAUGUACCUAUAGGACGGUAGAUAAGGAGGAAGCCCCGGCUAACUACGUGCCAGCAGCCGCGGUAAUACGUAGGGGGCGAGCGUUGUCCGGAAUCACUGGGCGUAAAGGGCGCGUAGGCGGUUUAAUAAGUCAGUGGUGAAAACUGAGGGCUCAACCCUCAGCCUGCCACUGAUACUGUUAGACUUGAGUAUGGAAGAGGAGAAUGGAAUUCCUAGUGUAGCGGUGAAAUGCGUAGAUAUUAGGAGGAACACCAGUGGCGAAGGCGAUUCUCUGGGCCAAGACUGACGCUGAGGCGCGAAAGCGUGGGGAGCAAACAGGAUUAAUACCCC
rnacentral:rRNA from 1 species